rnacentral:rRNA from 1 species
AUCCGCUAAGGAGUGUGUAACAACUCACCUGCCGAAUGAAUUAGCCCUGAAAAUGGAUGGCGCUAAAGCGGGUAGCCGACACCACGCCGUCUGGACGAAUUUUUUUGUUCCANAUGAAUAGGAGGACGUGGCGGUCGUAUNGAANCGUACGCGCGAGCGUGCGUGGAACGGCCGCUAGUGCAAAUCUUGGUGUUAGUAGCAAAUAUUCAAACGAAAACCUUGAAGGGCGAAGCGGGGAAGGGUUCCACGCGUACAUUGAUUGGGUGUGGGUGAGUCGUUCCUAAGCCGCGUGGCAAUAGCUAAUUACCGGCGAAAGGGAAGCAGGUUGACAUUCCUGCACACGGAUGUGGAGGCGGUGACGCACUUCUGGAGUAGUGAAGCUGGCUUUGGCACUGGGCAGAGUUAUCUUUUCUGUUUAACCAUUCCUAAACUGGCACUGUGUGGAAUCCGCUUGUCGGGAGAAACACGUGCCGACGGGAAAAGCGCCGGGAUUUUUCCGGCGUCCAGUUCGCCAUCGACGGACCUUGAAAAGCUACUUGCUGGCACAGUUCUCCUCGAGAGAGUUGUGUGUGAAAAAAUCCACGCCGUGACGUACCGAUAACCGCAUCAGGUCCCCAAGGUGAACAGCCUCUGCUCGAUAUGAUCAAUGCAGGUAAGGGAAGUCGGCAAAAUAGACCCGUAACUUUGGGAAAAGGGUUGGCUCUAGUGCUGCGUGGGAUUGGUUGUUGUGGUGUCUCGUGUUGAUCCUGCCGAUUCGUUCUGCUGCGGUGCGCAAGUGCUGUGGUGGGAAGUUUUGGUGGCGGUUGGUGCAGCCCGCGACGGCGCCCACGGUAUGCAGCAAACUAGAACUGCAACGGGCAAAGGGAAUCCGACUGUUUAAUUAAAACAAAGCAUUGCGAAGGUCGUGGCCGGUGUUGACGCAANNNNNNNNNNNNNNNNNNNNNNNNAUGUCAAAGUGAAGAGAUUCAAAUAAGCGCGGGUAAACAGCGGGAGUAACUAUGACUCUCUUAAGGUAGCCAAAUGCCUCGUCAUCUAAUUAGUGACGCGCAUGAAUGGAUUAACGAGAUUCCUACUGUCCCUAUCUGCUUCUAGCGAAAACACAGCCGGGGGAACGGGCCCGGCAAAAAUGGCGGGGAAAGAAGACCCUGUUGAGCUUGACUCUAUUCUAAAACUGUGAAACGAGUUAGGAGGUGUAGAAUAGGUGGGAGAGGGGCAACUCUCGUCCGUGAAAUACCACUACUCUUAAUCUCGUUUUACUUACCAGAUUGUUGUGGGCCGAGUCGAAAGACUCUUUUUUUGGAACCAACAUGCAGCCUUGUGUUGUGUGGACCACCGUCUGGAACACUUUUAGGAGGGGAGUUUGGCUGGGGCGGCACAUCUUCUACAAGACAACGAAGGUGUCCAAAGAUAAGCUCAGUGAGAACAGAAAUCUCACGUAGCGCAAAAGGGUAAAAGCUUGUUUGAUUUUGAUUUCCAGUGCGAGUCGAAACCGCGAAAGCGUGGCCUAUCGAUCCUUUUGAGUUUCGAGAUUUGAAGCAAGAG